ensembl:snRNA U6 U6 spliceosomal RNA
GUGCUCGCUUCGGCAGCACAUGGACUAAAAUUGGAACGAUACAGAGAAGAUUAGCAUGGCCCCUGUGCAAGGAUGACACGCAAAUUCAUGAAGCAUUCCAUAUUUUU